UGGGGAAUAUUGCACAAUGGGCGAAAGCCUGAUGCAGCGACGCCGCGUGAGGGAUGACGGCCUUCGGGUUGUAAACCUCUUUCAGUAGGGACGAAGCGCAAGCUACGGUACCUGCAGAAUAAGCACCGGCUAACUACGUGCCAGCAGCCGCGGUAAUACGUAGGGUGCGAGCGUUGUCCGGAAUUACUGGGCGUAAAGAGCUCGUAGGCGGUUUGUCACGUCGGCUGUGAAAUCCUAACGCUUAACCCUGGACGUGCAGGCGAUACGGGUUGACUUGAGUACUACGGGGGAGACUGGAAUUUCUGGUGUAGCGGUGGAAUGCAGAGAUGUCAGGAAGAACACCGAUGGCGAAGGCAGGUCUCUGGGUAGUAACUGACGCUGAGGAGCGAAAGCAUGGGUAGCGAACAGG
rnacentral:rRNA from 1 species